AGCUUGCAGACUCACAGUUACAGUGUGAAAGUGAAGAACAACGAAAAGAAAUGAAUAAUUUAAAAUUAAUAUUAAUCGUUAUUGGAAUAAGUUAUUGGAGAAUAAAUGGAAUAGAAAGAAACGGCAACAACAAAAUAAAUUUGUUUAUUGAAUACCUGCUGAGGAGGGACAUACAAGUCAGAAACGCAAAUUGUAUGUGUCCAGGUAAUUGAAAAUAAAACAAUUUUAAUCUGUGUAACUGUGAGUCUGCAAUCUUGUACACCAGUAUGAUAAGUCCUAUUAAUAGAAAUACACUGAUAUAGUGAUAAAAAGAAUAAUUUUGAUUAAAUUAAGGACAUAGAUGCAUAUUAAUUAACGGAAUACAGGUUCUUGAGCAUUUGAGCCCAUUAUCAUUGGUGUGAUAAGCCCUUCCUAUUAUCUGCCUUAUGGUUAUAGAUAUUUUAAUUAAUUUAAUUAUACUUAGGGCUAAAAGCAAUUUCUGUAAUGACAAUGUUACACUUAAAGAAUAAUUUGCCUAGAUCCCAAUUGAUAUUUGUGCAUGGGCCUUCAUCUAUUAAAAGUUAAAAUAGAUAAAAUUAACAGUGACAUCUGGCUGCAUCAUAUGUUGUCAUCACUUGUGCUCCAGAUGUGUAAGGUAACACACCUCCUUUGUAACCGCUCCCUGCAUCUUGUAGAAAUGUCUGAACCUGCAACUCUGUUGUUCUACUGUUUUUGCACCCUGUUCAUCAUGUUACCAUGCAACGUUAGGAAGAAAUGUUAAUACUGUCUACAUUGAUAAUGCUUACUGCUCAUACAGUCAAGGCGAUGGUUUCAUCUUUAUACUGUAUAGUUUUAGGCAUAGUUUUAAGUUUAAUUUCAAAUUUGAUAUUUUUUUCACCUUGUAUAAUUUUAAGUAUAUUAAGACCUCUUGCUAUUACCAACUGAUGAGGGACUAUUUUCCCAUUGGAAAAUAGUCCGAAAUGCAUUUUGGAUUUUUACGGUUUUUAUACUUAUGUAAUCAUCUUAUUGUACCCUCCCCCCUUUUGUUUUUUUAAAUUUUUACUUUGAUUCUUGAGCGUUUUUGCCCA